GAAAUGCGAUAAGUAAUGUGAAUUGCAGAAUUCAGUGAAUCAUCGAAUCUUUGAACGCACAUUGCGCCCGCCAGUAUUCUGGCGGGCAUGCCUGUCCGAGCGUCAUUUCAACCAUCAAGCCCCCGGGCUUGUGUUGGGGACCUGUGGCUGCCCGCAGGCCCUGAAAACCAGUGGCGGGCUCGCUGUCACACCGAGCGUAGUAGCAAUCACCUCGCUCAGGGCGUGCUGCGGGUUCCGGCCGUUAAACAGCCUUACAAAACCCAAGGUUGACCUCGGAUCAGGUAGGAAGACCCGCUGAACUUAAGC
rnacentral:misc_RNA from 1 species